rnacentral:rRNA from 1 species
AACGAACGCUGGCGGCAUGCCUAACACAUGCAAGUCGAACGAUUAUGGAACUAGCUUGCUAGUGCCCAGAUAGUGGCAGACGGGUGAGUAACGCGUGGGAAUCUACCUAGUAGUACGGAAUAGCCGUUGGAAACGACGAAUAAUACCCGUAUAUUCCCUGAGGGGGGAAAGAUUUAUCGCUACUAGAUGAGCCCGCGUUAGAUUAGCUAGUUGGUAGGGUAAUGGCCUACCAAGGCAAUGAUCUAUAGCUGGUCUGAGAGGACGAUCAGCCACACUGGAACUGAGAUACGGUCCAGACUCCUACGGGAGGCAGCAGUGGGGAAUAUUGGACAAUGGGCGAAAGCCUGAUCCAGCAAUGCCGCGUGAGUGAA